CCUACGGGGGGCUGCAGCUAAGAAUCUUCCGCAAUGGGCGCAAGCCUGACGGAGCGACGCCGCGUGAACGAAGAAGGUCGUGAGAUUGUAAAGUUCUUUUCGGGAGGAGGAAUAAUGCUGACAGGGAAUGGUUGGCAGAUGACGUGAAUCCCGGAAUAAGCCCCGGCUAACUACGUGCCAGCAGCCGCGGUAACACGUAGGGGGCGAGCGUUAUUCGGAAUCAUUGGGCGUAAAGGGCGUGCAGGCGGCCGCCCCAGUCUGGCGUGAAAGACCUAGGCUCAACCUAGGGGGUGCGCCGGAAACUGGGUGGCUUGAGUACAGGAGAGGAUGGCGGAAUUCCAGGUGUAGGGGUGAAAUCUGUAGAUAUCUGGAGGAACACCGAUGGCGAAGGCAGCCAUCUGGCCAUGUACUGACGCUGAGGCGCGAAGGUGCGGGGAGCAAACAGGCUUAGAUACCCCGGUAGUC
rnacentral:rRNA from 1 species